CCCUCGGGACCAUCUGGGCACACCGGGGACAGCUGGGGACAGCGGGACAGGUGGCACUGGUGGCGCGGGUGACACCGGUGGCGCGGGUGGCACUCGGACAGGUGGCACUGGUGACACCGGUGGCACUCGGACAGGUGGCACUGGUGGCACUGGUGGCACUGGGGGGGAGGGGAACAGGUGGUGAGGGGGAGGGGAGGGGGGGAGGGGAGGGGACAGCGGGGCUGGGCUGGGCUGGUUAUACUGGGUUGUACUGGGUUUACUGGGUUGUACUGGUUUAUACUGGGUUAUACUGGUUUGUACUGGGUUGUAUUGGUUUAUACUGUCCAUACUGUUUAUACUGGGUUACACCGGUCCAUACUGGUCCGUACUGGAUUACACUGGUCCAUACUGGUUUAUACUGGUCCAUACUGGUUUAUACUGGUCCAUACUGGUCCAUACUGGUUUAUACUGUCUGUACUGGUCCAUACUGGUCCAUACCAGUCCAUACUGGUCCAUACUGGAUUAUACUGGUCCAUACUGGUCCAUACUGGUCUGUACUGGUUUAUACCAGUCCAUACUGGUUUGUACUGGUCCAUACUGGUCCAUACCGGUCCAUACUGGAUUACACUGGUUUAUACUGGUCCAUACUGGUCCAUACUGGUCCAUACUGGUUUAUACUGGUGCAGGUCAUGGACGCCCCCUCAGAUGAAGGUGACGAUGACGAUGAUGAGCAGCCGCUGCCGCAGGAGCGCCCCCUGCAGGCCGUGGCUGUCCCCUCCGAGGCCGGUGCUGAGGAUGAAGGUGACGAUGACGAUGAUGAGCAGUCACUGGCGCGGGCUCAGGAGCGCCUCCAGCAGAUCAUGGACGCCCCCUGGGAGGCCGCUGACGAUGAAGGUGACGAUGAUGAGGAUGAGGAGUCGGUGGCGCGGGCCCAGGAGCGGCUCCUGCAGGUCUGUACUGGUUUAUACUGGUCUGUACUGGUUUUUACUGGUUUGUACUGGUCUGUACUGGUCUGUACUGGUUUUUACUGGUUUGUACUGGUUUAUACUGGUCUGUACUGGUUUGUACUGGUCUGUACUGGUCUGUACUGGUCUGUACUGGUUUGUACUGGUCCGUACUGGUCCAUACUGGUUAUUCUGGUUUAUUCUGGUCUGUACUGGUUUAUACUGGUCCAUAAUGAUCCAUACUGGUCUGUGCUGGUUUAUACCGGUCUGUACUGGUUAUACUGGUCCUUACUGGUUUAUACUGGCCCAUACUAGUCCAUACCGGUCUGUACUGGUCCAUACUGGUCCGUACUGGUCUGUUCCGGUCCAUACUGGUCCAUACUGGUCCAUACUGGUUUAUACUGGUUUAUACUGGUCCAUACUGGUCCAUAUUGGUUUAUUCUGGUCCAUACUGGUUUAUACUGGUUUAUACUAGUCCAUACUGGUCCAUACUGGUCCAUACUGGUCCAUACUGGUCCAUACCGGUCCAUACCGGUCCAUACUGGUCCAUACUGGUCCAUACUGGUCCAUACCGGUCCAUACUGGUCCAUACUGGUCCAUACUGGUCCAUACUGGUCCAUACUGGUCCGUACCGGUCCAUACUGGUCCAUACUGGUCCAUACUGGUCCAUACUGGUCCAUACUGGUCCAUACUGUUCCAUACUGGUCCAUACCGGUUUAUACUGCUCCAUACCGGUCCAUACUGGUUUAUACUGGUCCAUACUGGUCCAUACUGGUCCAUACCGGUCCAUACUGGUCCAUACUGGUCCAUACUGGUCCAUACUGGUUCCAUACUGGUCCAUACCAGUCCAUACUGGCCCAUACUGGUUUAUACUGGUUUAUACUGGUCCAUACUGGUUUAUACUGGUUUAUACUGGUUUAUACUGGUUUAUACUGGUUUAUACCGGUUUAUACCGGUUUAUACUGGUCCAUACUGGUCCAUACCGGUCCAUACCGGUCCAUACUGGUCCAUACUGGUCUGUACUGGUCCAUACAGGUCUAUACUGGUUUAUACUGGUUUAUACUGGCCCAUACCAGUCCAUACCGGUCCAUACUGGUCCAUACCGGUCCAUACUGGUCCAUACUGGUUUAUACCGGUCCGUACUGGUUUAUACCGGUUUAUACUGGUCCAUACUGGUCCAUAUUGGUCCAUACUGGUUUAUACCAGUCCAUACUGGUCCAUACUGGUCCAUAUUGGUCCGUACUGGUUUAUACUGGUUCAUACCGGUUUAUACUGGUUUAUACUGGUUUAUACCGGUCUGUACCGGUCCGUACCGGUUUAUACUGGUUUAUACCGGUCCAUACUGGUCCGUACUGGUCCAUACUGGUUUAUACUGGUCUAUACUGGUUCAUACCGGUUUAUACUGGUUUUUACUGGUUUAUACUGGUCUAUACUGGUGCAGGCGCUGAUGUCCCGCGCCGGGCGGGCGCUGCCGCUCCGGGAUCUGGGUCAGGACUGGCAGCUGCUGCGGGAGCUCGGCAGCGGCUCCUACGGACGCGUCGUGAUGGCCCGGCCCCGGCGCGGAGGUGAGUGUACCUGGGCACCUGGGCACACCUGGGCACACCUGGGGGCACCUGGGCACAGCUGGGGAUACACCUGGGAGCAUCUGGGGCACCUGGGCACAGCUGGGCACACCUGGGGAUACACCUGGGGGCACCCUGGGGCACCUGAAAUACACCUGGGGGCACUUGGGGAUAUCCACAGACACACCUGGGCACACUUGGGGCACCUGGGGCACCUGGGGCACCUGAAAUAUACCUGGGCACACCUGGGCACCUGGGGAUACACCUGGGGCACCUGG
rnacentral:lncRNA from 1 species